GCUCCAACCCACGCACUGUGAGGUCAUGACCUGAGCCGAAAUCAAGAGUCGGGUGCUUCAUAAUCAACUAAGCCACCCAGGUGCCCCAAUUUCUAUGUCCUUUUUUUGGAAAAAAUAUUGAAUAUCUGGUACCAACCAACCAGAAGAGUCUCACUGCUCUAAUGAGCCUCUGGUUUCACCUGUUCACCCCUUCCUCUUUCCUUGAAACCCCUGGUCUUUUUAGUGUCUCUCCAGAUCUGCCCUUUCCAAAAUGUCAUACCGUUGCAAUCAUGAACAUUUCACGGUGACUCAGAUGGCCUUUACUGGAAAGUCUAAAGGCUCUGUUUCUCAUUUCUCUUCUGCUUCUUCCCAUUGCCUUCCUUUUGCACCAAGGAAAACCCUGGUCGUGGUUAUUAACUAACCGGCUCCUUCCGUGCCUCCUUCCGUGCCCAGGCGACCAAAGCUGCCUAAGUGCCAAGUAGCACCACUCGUGACUGGCACGUCGUUCUAGAUCUCCCCCAGGGCCUACCGAGGAAAUUCCUCAUGACACAGCAGACGAAGAGGCUCCAUCUAAUGCCAGGGGGGACUCAAGGCCCCGUGAAAAUGGUACGUGUUUUAGAAUCAUUUACCUAUGGAGGAAAAAUCCUCAAGAAAAGAAAGGUGGGGCUUUCUUGCUGGUUUCAGUCUGGAAGGUUGCCCUAUUUCCAGCUUCCUGUUGGGAAAGGGGACAUUUCUGGAAGGACCGAUUUUCCAGAUAAGAACCAUGGCCAGUGCUCCAGUCCCUGGGAACAGCCACGCUCCCUUAUACGGUGCGGGUCUGUGUGUAUGGGCUUUAGGGGCAGGGUCUCUGUGUGCGUCUGCGUGGUGUGAACGUGUGGUGUGGGCAGUGCCUGUGGGUAAGAGCAUGUGUUUCCCCAGGAGAUAUAUGCCCCAUGUACACGUCCCAAUGCUGGGUCCUUUUUCUCAGAAAGAACCCCAUCGCCCCACACGCUUUGCAUACAUUGUCUUGUUCACCCCUCGUCACAGCUGUGCUGGCGUUGGCUUUCUCUCCCCGCCCCUCAGAGAGAGGGGCAGAGGUGCAGAGAUGAAGGGCCCAAGCUCUGGAGCUACCAGGUGGCCCCCAGGCACGUGGCUGCAGCUCUGAACUCUGACCUGCACUGCUCACGCGCACUUGACGUGGGGCGAGGGAGUUACGGCAUCUGGGAACAUGCCUGGAGCGCCAGAGUCCACCCAGGUCCCAGAUCCUGCCAGCCUUACAAGGUGGCCUCAUCGGUCACGCAGCCCCCCCGCAGCCACAAGUGCAUUCAGCUGACUUUGGCACGGCCAUUAGUGUGAAAUGCACGUAGGAAGCCCUGUGCUCCCGGUCGGCCCACAGUUUCUGAGAAGUGUGAGGCCACCUCGGACAAUGUAGGUCAACACCUGUCAGUGCUGGGGUCACUCCUCAGCCUCUGGCCCGAAGCAGAUAAGACUCAGGGAGAUACUUUAGGGCAUUUAAUAACAGGAUCACCACAAGCCCUGGAAGCGUUGGGUUGUGUGAGCCUAAUGGCCGGGGACAGUGACAAACAGGAACUCAAUAUGCGCUUUGUUAUCAGCCCGGACUCUGCCUCUCUCUCCCUUCCCGCCCCUCUCCUUUGCCUCCUUCCUUCACCGAGACGGGUGGCCCAGAACAGCUCAGUUCUUGCUUGUUGACCCGUUGCUGCCAGGCAGGCUGGGCCCGUGUCAUGUCAAGCAGAACCCCCAACGUCAGCACAGCAGCACCACCAUUGAGUGAUAGUUACCCUGUGUCCUCCUGGCUGCCCCCCGAGGGCCUGGCGGAGCAGCAUCCUGGGACAGGGCCGAGGCCAAGGCCCCGUCCAGUGCCACGGUGAGCUGACCUGCCUGUGUCUGAGACACAAACCCUGCUUUCUAGGUUUCUUUCUUUCAGUUGAAUUCAUGUGUGAAAAUGUGGGCAUGCUCAUCAGAGACGAUAUUGAUCAGUUCCUUGUUGGGGAUGGGUGUCGAGUCCUACCAGUGACAUCUGGUUCAUGCGGCUGUUUGCGAAGGGUUGCACCAGCUCGUAGACUGUGUGUGUGUGGGAGGAGGGGGUGGGGGUAGAGGGGGGCAGGGCUUUCCUUAGCAGAAAUCCCCCCUCAUCGGACUAAGAAUCUCAUGACUGGCAACCGACAUGGACUUGAGAGGACGUGAUCCAGGAAUUUUCAGCAGCGUUCUCUACUCUGGCCUUUGGGGCUUCUACUGGAUGGUCUCCCGGCUAGGUCUCUAAAGUCACCCAGAGGACACAUGGGAGCGAUCUGAUCCUCAUGCUUGUCUGUCAUUGCAGGUGGUCUCGGGAGUCAGUGAAAAUAGUAAGUUCCAUGGAGUCCCACACUUGCUGGGGAAAGAUCUAGGUGGUGAGAGACCCGGGGCUUUCCUGCUGGCUUUCAUUGGGAGCACCACCCCGAUUCUGGGUGCCUGCUGGGAACGGGGGCUGGGGAUGUGGGGAACGAGGCUGACACUACAGGGAAAGAACCGUGGCCAUUUCUUCACAAGCACUUUUGCUCCCUUUGGGUGGUGAGGGUUUGUGUGUAUGGUGGUGGGCUCUUCCCUGUGUGAAUCUAGGUGGUGUGGCUCUGAGUGUGGUGUGAGUGUGUGUGUGUCUCCCUAGACUGGUGUCCCCUCCAAAAACGCAGCUGACAAUGUCAGCUUCUAAGUGAAAACUCCCAUCACCAUUGUUUCAUGCAAUUGUAUGUACUUCAAAUUUGAUCAAAUUCUGCACUUUGAGUGUAUACAGUUCGUUGUAUGCUAAUAAACUUGGGGGGAAAUCCCACUGCCAGCUAGGAAGGGUUCCCAGCAUUCUAAGUGGACAAAACUGUUUCAGAAUCACCAUUAUUGGGUCAAUAACCACUUCAUUUAAUGAUAGAUCUCACCUCUGAGCAGGCUGUUUCCUUAACCCCAUGGCAGAUGGAUCAAUCCUAAUUUAAGAGAAGGAGCCCUAAUGGUAUCUAAUUGGCCUCUGGGACAAGGGAGGCCAGAGAGGGUGAUGGAUUACGGGGAAUAGCACAGCCUGUGGAUGGGGAGCCAGGCACUGCGACGAGGCCCUCGGCCCUAAGCCCCAUGGACUGUCUCUCACGCAUCCCCUGCCUGGGGACCACUUAUGAGCAGGGAUGAGGCAGGAGGAGCCGGGGUGCCGGGUGAGAGCACCACAUGGACAUCGUCCUAAAAGCCCGGGGAGAGGGCCUUCCUUCCUGUCCCAGCCUCUUCUCCAUCUACCAGACUCUUUCCUUCAUUGACACUGGGGAGGGGCAGACAGUGGAGUCAGGUCUCCUGUUCUCCCACCCAGGACAUAUCACAGGGAUGGAACCAGAGCCAGGCCAGACACAAGGAGGUUCCCAGGCCUGAUCCACUGGGGGCCGGGGGGGGGGGACCAGCUUGUACUCUUCCCCUGCUUCUGGGGGUCACCUGACAACCAGUCCUUGUCUACACACUGUUGGCCAAGAGUUAUUUGGCUGGAAACACAUUCAUACAAAAGGGAUCUCACCCCACGUGACCAGGGCAGCUGUAGAACAUUCUAGUUGCAGAGGAGGUGAGAGGGGCCCAGGCUCCAGUGCACAGGGAGUUGAGCAAAGUGGUGGGGGCUGAUCCCAGGGUUAAGGUAGUCCUCGCUGUACCUUUCCCUGGCUCUGAGGACAUCAGUUGGAGAAUUUGUCUGACAGGUAUUGGAAUUCUCGGUUCUAAACCCUAUCCGUUCUAACCCUUCCUUCCACUCGUGGGCACAGGAGCCCUAGCCCUGGGUGGUCACUACAAAGGCACUGACAGCAUCUCCCUCACUCUUGUCUCACACAGUGCUCAGCACUGGGAAGCGCCUCUUGUAAAACCUCUGGGCUGGGAUCUAGUUCAGGGGUGGAAAGGUCCCUCCUCAGUUUGUCCCAGCCUGUCGGGCCCCACACUAAGUUGGGUAUCUGCCCCGGCUCUGGUCCAGAUCCGAGAGAGGGGGGUGGCUUCCUGAGGACAGUGAGGUGCCCCCCCCCACCCUGCUGCGCUGAUUACAUCCAGCACAGGUGUGGGGGGUGAUGCUCUUCACUCUGCUUACAAGUGGGCCCCGGCUGGGAUUCCUCGAGGGCUUGGGGGGUGGCCGUCCUCUCUGAGUGUUCCCAGGGACUCAUGGAGUGCCUGGCACAUGUGUAUGAGCCCUAAGAACCUAUUAAUGGAAGAUCGUGUCAGGCCAGCAAAUCCUCUGCAGGCACCCCCAGGGCAGGCACGUCACGUCUUCUGCAUCUUUGGAUCCGACAGCUGCACUCUCCAGGGGGGAAGCCACUAGCCAGACGUGCGGGCUCAUGUUUAAAUUAAUUAAAGCAAAUGAAGUUAAACAUUCCAUCCCUCAUCACACUAGCCACAGUUCAGGUACCCAGCAGGUGCAUGUUUACAACACAGAGCAUUUCCAUCCCGACAGACGGCUCUCCUGGGCAGCUGCUCGGAGCCUGGCCCAGGGUGUGCUCAUGGAACCCACCUAACCCAACAUGUGUCCGUCACAGUGGGAAGGUCAGGUUGGUUCGUGCCCAGGUGAGAGCUAUCACGAUCCAGUGCAGCUGGGGAAGUGCCAGGUGAAGGCGGAUCCUUUCUCUCAUUUGCAGGUUUGCAAGGGUGGUCAAUGUCUCCUUGAAGGACGCUGACUCCACCGAGCCCAGGGAAGGUCUGAGGACCCAGAGGAAGGACAGCUGAUGCCGGGUGGGCCAGCAUGGCCUCAGCUGGGGCAGCAGGAACAGGGGAGACCCUCUCUCUAGUACGCUGCUUGCUCAUGCUUGUGUCUGUAAAGGUUGGAUUGUCCACUGAAGAUAUGAUUCGAGCAGCAAGGUUGAAGAACCCCUAGGUAGGGAACAGCCCUCAAGUGUAUCAGGAAAUGGUUUCUGGGAGCUGUCAGGUUAUACCUGCAGCUUUGGAGACUGAGGGAGGUGGGUAUGAAAUCAGAGAGAAAAGGAAAUGUGCGUCCUUCUCAUAUUUUAACGCUGUAGGAAUAAGAGCUGUUAUGUCUGUUGGCUUAGGGUGUACUGUUCGCAAUCUUUUCUUGCUUUGUUAUUUAAAGUCUCUCUUUCCGCUAAGACCUGCUCUCUUCUGCUCUGCCUCUGCCAAGCAUCAAAGCCUUGGUUACGGUAGGUUCCCACGUCUUGGGACUUGAGCAGGGGCAGUUUACUGGGUCGGAUUUGGUGUGAUCUGUGACAGAGGUGGUCUGAUGAGGCAUAUUCUGGCAUGCACACUUGAAACGGAGACAAAGUGCUUCCAUGUGAGCUGGGUGCUGGGGACCCGGGGACCCUCUCCCUCUGCACCUUCAGGUCACGGAGCGGCACCUGUAUGGGCUACCUUCAGCUUUGCCCCUGGGUGAAAGGGUGCUCCCUGGGUGGGCAUCGCAGAGAACGUUUCCUCUCCAGCUCCUGCAAGUGCUCCUGGGACCGUCUGAAGAAGUGAGGUGGGAGGUGCUCCCUGGAGCAAGUUCUCUCCUCCUCUCCUCACCCAAAUCCAGGGUCCCUGGAGCCGAAUAAAUCCUGUACUUGCCUCCACGUGGAAGGGACCUCUGUGCAGCUCCCCCCCCCCCACACACACACACACGCUGAUACCCUCCCUGGUUGGCAGGAUUUCUAGAGGCCUGUGUGAAUGCCACUGGGCCCUCACACACACUGGGUCUCCAGGCCCCGCUGAGCUGUCUCCUGGGAGUGAACAGCCCCAGGAAAGAGGCUCUUGGCAGUGGGGCUGGGGUUCCUGCCCCUGUCAGAUCCCACUCCUCCAGCCACACAGCAAUGGGCCUGCUCCCCACACCACGGUUAUAGCCCUCCGUGUGAUCUUUCUUGUGCCUGUCUGGGUCCUCGCCCACUCCUUCCAGUGCUCAGGGCAGAGGCUGGCAGGCACAGGGGUUUCUACGGCUGCACCUGUUGAUGUUUUCCCCUCGCUUCACCUAUAGACUGGGGGACUUUGGGCAAGUUAUGUUACCUCUAAUGUCACGGUCACUGUCCCUAAGGGGCUGGGACUAAUGUGGAGGAAAGGGCUGUGGGAACGCCCAGUGUCCCCCAGGUACCUAAGGUCAGAGCAGGCACAGGCCAGCCACACGGUAUGGGGAAUGGAUUGUCUUCUCCAAUGGCCCAGCACAACCAUGAAGGUGCCCCUGGAUUUGGCUGGAUUGAUUAGUUGAUGGAUUGAUUGGUUAGGGAAGGUGGCAGUAUAGCCAUGGCAUGCACACUUGGGUUCCACUCUCCCCAUAUUGGAGGAAAAUACAAAGGUGGAGGCUGACCAGGAGACGGGAAAUGGACAGGAAUCUGGAGGGAGGAAGGAGUCCAGGUGGUCAUUGGAGAGGGAAGUUGGGAGGCGGGCAGUGUAUUGCACACAAAGUCCUAGGGACAGUGACUGCCUCUUGGAGGGACGGGGUGGCUCAGGUGCUGCUUCCUGGUCCCAGGCAUGGAAUCUGAGGACUAGGAAGGGCCUGGAGUCCCUGGACCUGCUCCUCAUCACAUUGGAGAAAGGUGGGAAGAGGGCCCCAGGGGGAUUGUAGUGUGAGGGCACAGUUGCCAUCUGGGGUCAGGGAUGUAAUCCCAGAAGCAGCAGCCUGAGUUCUCACCUCCCCUGACCUCAUCCUCUCUUUCCCACGGCCACCCCAUCACUGUCGCUGCCCUUGUGCACGCAGAAGUCUGUUUUACAGAUCCGGAGGGUUAGGAUUCAGACACUAGCCAUCUGCAUAUAAUUUACUUCCUACUUCUGGCUCUUUUCUAUCUAUUUCUGGCGCUUAAGUCUCCUGUGUGACUCUUCCCUGCUCCCUCUUUGGAUGAUUCCCAUCCUGAAGGACCCAGUCCCAUCCAGGCCCAGGAGGGCCUAGCAUCUCCAGUGUCUAUAUAAUCUCCCCAGCAUCCCGUCACCAGCUUUCCCAGCAGCACCCUGUUCCCAGGGCUGAGCAGCCCUGUGUGGUGGCUUGGGCACCAGGCUGGAAUGAGGAGGGCUGGGAUCGCUCUGCCGGAGGGCCCCCCGGGAGCCUGUGUCUGCCCUGGCCGAGCCCGUCUUGGUGCUCUCCUGCCCCAGAGAUGGGGAUGGGGGCCUCUGCAAUCACAUGACUGUCUUCUGCCUUACAGCUACCAAGAUCACACAAUUUUAAAACAAGAAUGAUUCCAUCAGGAAUCUGAUUCCAGAAAUCCUCCUGUCGUGGAUGAAAGAGAAUGUGUCAGGAAAGAAGGGGCAUGGAGUGGAACAGGAGGAGGAAAUGGAGUGCAGAGAGGCAGGAGGAAGUGCAGAAGGCAAACAAGUGCCCUUCAGGGAACCGGAAUGCCCAGGAGCUCGCUGGGGCAGCCCACAAUGCACGUGACCUUGCAGGAGGACAUGAAGGUUAUGGCCACGUUCCACAAGUGAAGGGUGUACUGACAACAUAGCCCAGGGCGCAGAUAGCCAUGCCCUGCCCAGCCCUAACUUUGUUGGGCCACUGACUCCUGCCUCCACUGACUCCUGCAUUUGGACGACAGGGCUGGAGGCCCCUGCGGGGCCACAUGGAGCAGGUCACAUUGUGUUCUUUGGGAAACGUGUCCCUGGAGGGUUCAACAUCUCAGUCCUGCAGGACCCUAUGCUGCCCAACCCUCUCAAGGGAAACAGCGAGCACAUCAGCCACUCAACAAGGUGAGAUAGUGCAGGGUAGGCUGGGUUUUUCCCAGUUCAGGCUCCCAGGCAAAGAGGGAGGAGGACAGAGGCCGGGGGUCUCCCUGUGAAUCAAGUAAGGUGGUUCCCAGGGCUCAGCUCCGCAUCCUCAUGGGCAUAGAGCAGCCUGUCUUUAGAUAGGGGCCACAGCAGCCUCCAGUCCGGGCUGGGAGUUUCCCAAGGCCAGUCAUCCCCUCAAACCCUUCAGAGUCCUCUGGACGCCCUGGGUCACCUUGUGGCACCAUUUCUCAGACUGGGAUUCUACAGAUUUGUCAUAUAUGCAGAAAAACCAAAGAGAGCAGACAAUUUUGAAGCAAAUUCAAUGCAGUGCUAGCUUGGAAUAUGUUAAGGAGUAAGGUUUUCCAGUUACUUACAUGUCUCUUUCCAAUUUUGUAAAUAAAUAUAAGAAAUAGAACUUGUAUUAUA